rnacentral:rRNA from 1 species
UACAGAGGUCUCAAGCGUUUGUUCGGAUUCAUUGGGCGUAAAGGGUGCGUAGGCGGCGCGGUAAGUCGGGUGUGAAAUUUCGGAGCUUAACUCCGAAACUGCAUUCGAUACUGCCGUGCUUGAGGACUGGAGAGGAGACUGGAAUUUACGGUGUAGCGGUGAAAUGCGUAGAUAUCGUAAGGAAGACCAGUGGCGAAGGCGGGUCUCUGGACAGUUCCUGACGCUGAGGCACGAAGGCCAGGGGAGCAAAACGGGG